GACGAACGCUGGCGGCGUGCCUAAUACAUGCAAGUAGAACGCUGAAGAGAGGAGCUUGCUCUUCUUGGAUGAGUUGCGAACGGGUGAGUAACGCGUAGGUAACCUGCCUUGUAGCGGGGGAUAACUAUUGGAAACGAUAGCUAAUACCGCAUAACAAUGGAUGACCCAUGUCAUUUAUUUGAAAGGGGCAAAUGCUCCACUACAAGAUGGACCUGCGUUGUAUUAGCUAGUAGGUGAGGUAACGGCUCACCUAGGCGACGAUACAGAGCCGACCUGAGAGGGUGAUCGGCCACACUGGGAGUGGGACACGGCACAGACGCCUUCGGGAGGCAGCAGUAGGGAAUCUUCGGCCAUGGGGGGAACCCUGACCGAGCAACGCCGCGUGAGGGAAGAAGGUUGUCGGAUCGGAAAGCUCUGUUGUAAGUUAAGAACGAGUGUGAGAGUGGAAAGUUCACACUGUGACGGUAGCUGACCAGAAAGGGACGGCUAACUACGUG
rnacentral:rRNA from 1 species